GAUGAACGCUGACAGAAUGCUUAACACAUGCAAGUCAACUUGAAUUUGGGUUUUUAACUUAGGUUUGGGUGGCGGACGGGUGAGUAACGCGUAAAGAACUUGCCUCACAGCUAGGGACAACAUUUGGAAACGAAUGCUAAUACCUAAUAUUAUGAUAAUAGGGCAUCCUAUAAUUAUGAAAGCUAUAAGCGCUGUGAGAGAGCUUUGCGUCCCAUUAGCUAGUUGGAGAGGUAACGGCUCACCAAGGCGAUGAUGGGUAGCCGGCCUGAGAGGGUGAUCGGCCACAAGGGGACUGAGACACGGCCCUUACUCCUACGGGAGGCAGCAGUGGGGAAUAUUGGACAAUGGACCGAGAGUCUGAUCCAGCAAUUCUGUGUGCACGAUGAAGUUUUUCGGAAUGUAAAGUGCUUUCAGUUGGGAAGAAACAAAUGACGGUACCAACAGAAGAAGUGACGGCUAAAUACGUA
rnacentral:rRNA from 1 species